AGUGGCGUCUCCGCUGUGUCCUACGGCGGGUCGCUUGGCACCCUCCGGGAGGGGGCCUUAGGCCGCCUGCACGCGCCGACCGGCCCGCAGGACUACACCGUUUGCUCUCUGCCGCAUUCGGGCGCUUUAAGCCUGCUGCUCUCCCACGCCCCACCGCUGUUAGGAAAAACAGCAUAGCAGAGGUUGCGGGCUGUGUUAUUUCUCCCUUGGCGAUCUGUCGUGGAGACCAGGAGCUGGGUUUUCCAAAUUGGCCCCUUAAAAUACAUACGCGUCUAGGAGUAAUUUGUUUAAGUACGAGUAGCAUUGAACAGUAGGUCCCACUGUAAUAUUUUUGCCUUUGUCGGCCCCUGAAAAUAGCUAAGUGAAUAUUGGGUCAUGUUUUCAGGCACUGCUCUCAAAGACAAAAUCCCCGGCUUGUGGUCAAAAGCAAGGCGGCUUCUGUUUUUCUUAAACACGCUUCUUCCCAUAUGUGAACAAAUCUCUUAGGCGUAGGAAGAAGCCCACCCUUAAAAUUUUCAGGAGGACGGUAUAGAUGAUCUCCCUGGACGAUAAUAGAAGACAGCAUUUGGUCCUAAAUAUUUUUAAGCCAAUUCAGCGUCUUCAGAUUUUUAACCUAUAAUAAGCUAUCCGUGUAUCUUCAUUAUUAAAAAAAAAUUAUUUCUGUGAAAUCAAAUAAUCAAAGUUUCAAGUUUGAACUUCAUGGUCAAAGGUAGGAUGGGAAUCAGCGACACCUCGGUGGCUCAGUCGUACCUCUUAUAGAAUAAGGACUCGGGCAACUGUCCAACCACCCACCUUUCAAUCUGGCUCUGGCUGUGGUUGAGGAAGCAUUAUGUGAGCAGCAGAAGCUGAAAGAGGAGGCGGUCUACUCAGAAAAGGAAUAUGGCAGAUACUGCAAAAACAAGAAGACUGAGAAAACAGGAGGCAAGAGAACCUCGGAACCUACGGAAUGUCAUGUUUCUGUGUGGAAGUUUGCUAACUCACUCUCCACUUCUGGAGUGGCCGAACUGACAGCAAUCUCCGUUUCCUCCAAUGCUUCAUUUAUCACUGUCCUAGAUGACUGGGGACUGAAGGGGUGUUUGCCCAGGCGACAAGUUUUGUUUUGUCUUGUUUUCUGAGCCAUUCUCUGUUAGUUUCCUUCAGGACCAUGUUUGGGUUUUUCUAUGUGUCAUGUGGGUGGGUAUUAACUACUUUUGUUUGAAAUGGUUCCACUCAGUCCUACUCCAGUAUAGCCACUGGAGGGUAGGACCUAUUAAGAGCCCCAUCUUUCCUUUGGUGGGGCUUAUGAGUGUCCUGAGUUGUUGCAAAAAGGAUUUUUUCCAUUAGGUAGAUCUCUUGGGCUAAGAAAAAUGCUAAGACAAGGGUGGGUUGCUGGACCACACGUGGCUACGUAGAGGCACCUGUUGGUGGCAUGCCUUCACUUGAGGACAAUGAGUGCAGCAGAAGGGGCUCAUCUGCACAGGCAAACAUCCACUGAAUUCUGGACUGAUCUCUCACGUGGCAACCUGGUCCUGACAACUGACCAUGCUCCCUGGGGCCCAGGUAGAGCAGCCUCCUGAUGCUCACUCUCAGCUUCCUGCAGCCCCUUUAAGUCCUAGAAGCUUUACUGCCUUCCUUUCCCAGGAACUCUCACCCAUGGCAACUCCAAUGUUCAAUGGAUCUGGGGAUCUUCAU